CAUUUUAAUUUAAUAUUUAUUUAUGCAUGCCAUAUGUUUGUUUUGUUUUAUUUAAGUCAAACCAAGCAAAUUCAUAAUUUUUAAAAAAUAAUGAAUUAAUACACAUGAUCACUGUCAUGUCUGAAGUGCGUUUUAGAGGAAUUUAUGAAGGCACUUUGUCAAGGAAAUGAGGAGGAAGAUGACUAAAAUAUUGCUCAAUCUUACUUCAGGAUAAGUCCGACAUCAUUUGUAUAUUUUACUUAUUUUCAUGUCGUUUUUGGCUUGCUGUCUACGACCCACUUUUGGGUCCCGACCGGCCAACUGAGAACAGGUCGCAGGUCAGUUAUUUGUAUUUUUUGUCAUGUUCAAAUUUUGUGCGCUUGUAACGGUAGUUACGAUGUCAACACGGGCCAAACAUUGAACGUUUUCCUGUCAUUUUGAGGUAGCGUUAUUGCGAUGUUUAAUGCUGCAUACGCAGUCCAGCAUCAUAAACAAUCCGGAGGAUGCGAGGUGGGAUACGCUGCGGUUGUCUACAACCAUACAUGUCUUGUUUAGGAAAGAGAAAUGUGAAAAUAGAUUUUCAAAUUGCUUUUUAGUGGAAUAUUUAGCUUUUCAGAGAAAUCCAAUCAUGCCUGUAUUUCCAGUAAUAAUUUACUACAGCUGUAAUGUCAUGCACUGUUGGAGUUUGACCUUGUAUUUCGUGCAUUUUCCCAGGAUCUGUGCGACCUUUAAUCACUUCUAAUUAGCACCAGCAUGUCCGACAUGGCAAGAAAAAGGAAAUUCAGGAAAUGCUCCGUCCUAAAUGCUUACCUGCUCUUCAGUUGCAAAGUUGCAGAUGUCCUCGUCCAGUCAUGAGCGCCUUGCAGCAGAGGGAGAGUGGAGCAGAGUGGACGGAGGACAGCGAGGGAGGGAGACGGACAGAGAGGGAGGGAGAGAGGGAUGGAGGAAUGGGUUGCAUACAGGAGAAAGAGAGAAGGGGGAAGACUGCUGCACGAUCGCGUCGUGGCAUUUUUAUAGCAGGCUUUUGUGUGACGUGGUCCAUGUCAUUGUGUGUGUUGUCAUCACGCCCCCUCCUUAACCCCACCUCACCGUCCACCCUCUCCACGCCCCCGUUAUCAAAAUGAGGCAGCAUCAUCACUUAUCGCUGUGUGAACGCUCUGAAUGGAGCAUUCACACCACUGCUGCUCUUGCAUAUUUUUCAUCCAAUUAUUCCUGCUCGGGCAUUCAAAGGUGGUCCAAAUACUUUAGUAGUUUGUUUCAAAAAGUGAAUCUUUGUUUGUUUUUUUAUAGAUUCCCUAUACACAGAGUGAAAUAUUUUAAGAAUGUGUUUAAUUUUUUUAUAUAUACUACUGACCACCACCUGCUGGGGCUUGGUUUAAGAGGGGACAGACAGAAAAGAGGCAAAAGGAAGCAAUCAAAUGCAACAGUAACAUCUGCUAGUGCUUGCUUUAAGAAGGGACAGAAAAAUGUAUAAAGAAGAUUGCCAAUAAACAACCACAAAACCACCUGCCUAGUGCUUGCUUUAAGAAGGGAUAGACAGAAAAGCAGCAACAGGAAGCAUCCAAAUACAACAGUAACAUCUCCUGUUAGUGCUUGCUUUAAGAGGGGACAGAAAAACAAAGGAAAUGACAAAAAAAAACACAAAACUAGCUGCUAGUGCUUGGUUUAAGAAGGGAUAGACAGAAAAGCUGCAACAGGAAGCAUCCAAAUACAACAGUAACAUCUCCUGCAAGUGCUUGCUUUAAGAGGGGACGGAAAAACAAAGGAAACAAGGGCGGUCUCAUCAUUUUUUCCAUGACUGCAUAGAAAGGAGAUGGCAAAUAACAACACAAAACCACCUGCUAGUGCGCAGUUUAAAAGGGGACAGACAGAAACACGGCAACAGGAAUCAAUCAGAUACAGCUGUCACAUCGCCUGCUAGUGCUUGAUUUAAGCGGUGACAGAAAAAGAUAAAUGAGAUGGCAAGUAUUAAAAACAACCUGCUAGUGCGCGGUUUAAGAGGGGACAGACUGACGCGGCAGCAGGAAGCAAUGAAAUACAUCUGUAACGUCACCUGCUCGUGCUUGGUUUAAGAGAGGACAUAAAAUGAUAUAAAGGAGAUGGCAAAUUAAAAAACAACAAACAGCACCUGCCAGUGCUUGGUUUAAGAGGGGGCAGCCAGAGAUAAAGGAGACACCACCACCAAGUAGUGCUUGACGUAGCUUGGUUUAAGAGGGGACACCUCAGCAUUUACAUUCACUAUUUCUACUUUUGUCCUCAUCGCACUUAAGAGCAUGGCCAUCUCCCUCCCCACAGACUGAAGGUCAAUCAAAGGGCAAAGUGAGUAUUAUUUUUCUCAGCUUGAACAUUUGUCAGAGACAAUAUAUUGGACUUUUUCAGCAAUAAUGAACGGUGAGAUGAUGUCAUGGCGUUGCCAGAAGAUCACAAGCUAAGCCUCCCAUUGGACUGUGGUGUCCGUAUGACAGAAAUGGGUCUAAUAAUAGCGGUCUAAUCCGUGUCGCAGGCUGGCGCGGAAAAGAUGAAACUGAGAUGUUGGUCUCUGUGAUCCUACAGCCGUGGACACGUUGGCCAUUAGGCACGGACAGCCCACCAUUGCGGCCGUGGCGACGUUGAAGGGCUCAACAUGGCUGCGCUGCGAUUGAAUCCAACCUGAUUGGCCCACAAAAGCAUCUGGACCCGUAGUGGGACACUCUCCCGCCCACGUGUGAACCGUGAACUCCAUGGUGCCACAGCUGGACCUCUGAAGGUGGGCUGAGACGACCGUUGGCUCGGCUGAAGGCGCCGCUCCAUGAGAGUGGACUGUCCAGAGAGGCGUCUAAGGCCGGCCGGGACCAUUCGUUGUUUCCUCUACCGACCACCCUGCACACUGCUCCAGCUCGGCCUCUCCUUUCAGAUAAGAUGGCCUCCCUGCUGGUUCUGUCCAGCUCAUUCCACGCAUCCCCGCCAGUCAUCCACACGGAAACAUCCGGGCUGCAGGCGGGCCAAGUGGGAUCGCAUCUGAAAUCUGCCCCGUCUUCCUGCGAGGAGAAGCUCAUCUUGGCAGACCCAAACAGGAAGCUGAGGUUGGGGUCGCCGGGAAAUGAUUCUGGAUCGCGGCUGGCGAACUCUCGCGGAGGAAGCGGGUCGGCCGUCGUGCUCCAAGGGCUCUCCGGUGGACUUGUGCGCUGACUCGACUCGACAUGCUGAGGCUGCGUGUUGUUGUACUGGGAGGCGGUGUCGCUAAACAGCUGAGGUCAGCAGGAGAUGGUGAGCAAUGAUGAGUUAAAUCCAGCCUUCACUUCUAAAUCACCUUUAAGACUUUGUGUGGCACUUCGGGGAGCAGUUCUUCCAAUUGGGUCAGAGAUGCCCCCAGUAACCACGGCAACGAGGGUGCCCUCUUUAGCAUGAGCUGACUGACCAAAGGGUUGAUGCUGGGGAACUGUGACAGGCACUGCUCCUCCUGCUCCGAGGACACCAGUCAACAACGCAAACAUCAUCAUGAUUCGUCGGAAAUAUUCACAGUAAAUCUCACCUGUGAGCACGUCAGAGCCAGCCAGUCUCGCUCCAGGUAGCUGACAGGGUCCUGAGCACUGGACAUCAAGCUGAGGAAGCAGAUCCGAUUGACCCACUUGGCCACUUCAAACACCUCUGAGGAAAGGAGCACCUGGCAGGUCGUCCGACUUCAUGCCGAAGAGCACCAGAGAGGAGUAGACCAGCACCAAGUUGUCGAAGGCUUGGCUGGAAAACCUGCCAUCACAGCAGCAUCAAGUGCUUGACGAUUGUACGAACGCCUCGGCGACACUCACGCUGACUCCAGCGUCUGCAGCAACAGCGGCCAGUCGAUGAGUGUCCCUGUCACCAACAGCACGUACGCCACCUUGUCCUCCAGGCACCAGGAGGCACUCUCGGGGAGGACGAUGUCGAAGGUGAGGUGCUCCACUUUCCUCUCCUUGCAGAUGGUUGCCCAUGGCGACGGGCCGGGGUGGUCGUACUCCACCACCAGAGAGAAAAGAUUCCAGGGGAAGUCCGGCCCUAAAUGUUGCUCGUACACCAUCACACACACACUGUCCUGCACGCUUGGACGUACAAGCCGAGUCGACACCAGCUGCUGUAGCUCCAGCACUUUCAAGUUGGACUCGCGGUUCACGCGACUGAGGUGGAGGAUGAUCUGCAGCCUCCUCAGCAGCUCAGCCAGACCCAGGUCAGCGCACGACUCAACUGCCUUGCUCAGCAGCGUUCAGGUCACACUUGAACAACAACUCUUUGGCCGUGACCAGCACGUGGAUCAGAAGCACAUGACGGAACAGCUGCUCCUGAUCUACAUGCAAACACCGGCGUCUCAACCGUGGUUCUGUGACUGCAUUCUUCCUCAUGGUGCAUCUUCUGUGCUGUACCUCUGACCGGCUCUCCCCUCUCCGCUUGCGUCAUCCGGCACAGCGCCACCUCCCGCUGUUUGAGCACAUAACGUGUUUGGUCCGGAGCCAGGCGCUCAAAGUCCCUCCAGGCGGGCAGGUUGAGGCCCAGCUCCCUGGCAGAGGUCAGACGAGGCUGAGCGAAGGCCAGCAGCUCAUGGUAGGCCUGAUACUGACUGUCUGCAAUGUAUCGGUGAAGGCAGAGUGACUGAGUCGAACCAGUGGCUUGGAUCUGCAACACUCUGCUGCCAUCCUGGUUGAUCCGCUGAUCGUUGGUUGGAAGUACCACCGAGCUGGUGUUAUUCUGCCCUCUGCUGGCGUGUCCUGAUGUCGCAGCAGUGGUCGGCUUCCAGUCUACCAGUCUGGGAGGAGGCUGCUGCACCUCUGACUGUGGUACUUUGUCCUGCGGCUCUGGUGCUGAUGAACACAAAGAGCACAAGGCACGGAGGAACAUCCUCACUCACAGUCUGCCGGGUGGAGACAAAGCUUCCCUCUGGAGGUCAGAUGUCCUCAGUGAUACGUGAGACUGGCCGGCAGAGGCGGGAGGCGGGGUCAGAGUCACGUCCAGCUCCAUCUCGGUCGGAAGCAUGGCACGUCCUGAUGAAGGAAAGUAGAGUGGUACCUCUAAAAGUUCAACGCCAAUUCAGAAUUGGGAAAAAUACACCUCCUACAAAAGAACAAAACUUCAACAAUUUCAAAUAAGUCUAAGAGGUUGAAAAUGUGUUACUUUAUUUUAAAAUGUGUAGCGAAGCCUGCCUUUUUGUGCGCUAAUACAAAUGAGGCGGGCUCAUCCAGCUAGGGGCGGGCCACAGGCCAUAUCAUGUCCACAAGGGAGGAGGUUUUUCUACAAGCUGAAACUUGAAAAGUGAGCAUUUCAAAUGCCUUUUCUUUCAAAAGUGGAGCAAACAAGUGAGGAAGGCGAUAGAUUUUUUUCACAUUUGGUGCUCUUAAACAGGCACUUGGGACACACACGGGCGUAUUUAGCCACGUGGGGGCCCAAGGCAACCCCAAUCACUGAGGCACACAUCCUUGUGCUGCACUGACAAAAGUUUUUUUUUUUUGAAAAGGUUAGUAUAUAAUUAAGGUCGUUUUAUUCCUGCUUUUGAAAUCUGUCAUCUUAAAUUAGCUAGUCACAUAGCCAUGUUUAUAUACCGCCCCAAAAACGAUUUCAGAUAUUAAUGUUUAUCAUUUACUAACAAGUGAAUAUGAGAAAAUGCACCAAUUUCCUGAGAUAAAGUCCUUAUAAUCCCCCUAGAAGAUUAUUAUUACCUAACAAGCAACAUCUUCGGGAUGCACCGAUCAGAGUUUUAUGCUGCCGUUUCCGAUACCAUUCAUCCAGGACUGAAAUCAGCCGAUCGAUGGAUUCAUUAUACAUUUUUGAAUUUAUCUGUGAUGAGUGCUAUUGGCCAGGGGUGCCGUAUAAAGGGGAAAAGUCAGGACAAUUCCAAGGACUGCUAGAGGGCCCCAAAAACGUAAACUGAUAAAAUUAGUAAUUAAUUAAUGGGGGGGGGGACUUGUGACUUGUGUCUUCCACCGCUGAGAAAGGCUGCUCAUCUCAGCCGGUGAAUUCAGUUAUUUUUUGGGUUUUUAGCUUAGCUGACUGUCAUGCAUACGGGCGAGUGUUAGCCACAGGGCUGCGUUAGCUGCCAUGACCGUGAGCCUCUAAAACCCACCAUACUCUAUCAAGCGUUGUUCUUCAAAUGCCAUAUUAAAGCUUUUAAACGUGCUACCCCGGCCAGGUAUGUUUCGUGUCAUGUGUUAGCAGUUAGGUUCCACACGGCAGAUGUGAUUGUUUUUGUUUUGAAGAAAGUGGGAGGACGACACUGUUAAAGAUGUUUGUUAGGUCAAGACACUACACUGCACGAAAGGGCCUCUGCGGGCUGCACUAGUGCCAGCCACAGGUGAUCGACCUUUGUGAUCGGCGUUGCCGGCAUUUUAACAUCACGCGAUUUUUUUACGGAAAUUGGCCAAUCGAUCAGAGCAUCCCUAAUAAAAACUCUGUUUUCACCUCGCCUUCUCUUCUUCUCCGCUCCACUGGGGUAACUCCGCUUCAUUCUCCGCUCCCGAAGCGGCAACAAGUUUAUUUUCUACCAUCUUCCUGAAUGAGAAGGGAGAGUGAAGCGGUCGAAACGAUUAUGCUGGAUUUCUGAUAUAGUUUUAAGCACACAAAUUAAGACUAAAACAGUUAUAUGCACUUUAAAGCGAAGGGAAAAAAAUUAUCAGUUUUUAUGAGACGUCUGGGGGCCCCAGGAAAUCUCGGGGCCCUAGUGCA